rnacentral:rRNA from 1 species
CCUACGGGGGGCAGCAGUGAGGAAUAUUGGUCAAUGGGCGGGAGCCUGAACCAGCCAAGCCGCGUGAGGGAAGAAGGUACAGCGUAUCGUAAACCUCUUUUGUCAGGGAACAAAGGCGGGGACUAGUCCCCGGAUGAGGGUACCUGAAGAAAAAGCAUCGGCUAACUCCGUGCCAGCAGCCGCGGUAAUACGGAGGAUGCGAGCGUUAUCCGGAUUUAUGGGGUUAAAAGGGUGCGCAGGCGGCCUGUUAAGUCAGCGGUAAAAGCCCGGGGCUCAACCCCGGCGAGCCGUUGAAACUGGCGGGCUGGAGUUGGAGAGAAGUACGCGGAAGGCGCGGUGUAGCGGGGAAAUGCUUAGAUAUCGCGCAGAACCCCGAUUGCGAAGGCAGCGUACCGGCUCCACACUGACGCUGAGGCACGAAAGCGUGGGUAUCGAACAGGAUUAGAUACCCCUGUAGUC